UAAGGAAUAUUGGACAAUGGAGGCAACUCUGAUCCAGCCAUGCCGCGUGAAGGAAUAAGGCCCUAUGGGUUGUAAACUUCUUUUAGACGGGACAAAACCCCUUUACGUGUAAAGGGUUCAUGGUACUGUCAGAAUAAGCAUCGGCUAACUUCGUGCCAGCAGCCGCGGUAAUACGAAGGAUGCAAGCGUUAUCCGGAACUAUUGGGUUUAAAGGGUGCGUAGGCGGACUAAUAAGUCAGUGGUGAAAGCCUAGAGCUUAACUGCAGAAUUGCCAUUGAUACUGUUAGUCUGGAGUACAGUAGAGGUAGGCGGAAUGUGUCAUGUAGCGGUGAAAUGCUUAGAUAUGACACAGAACACCGGUUGCGAAGGCAGCUUGCUAAGCUGUAACUGACGCUGAGGCUCGAAAGCGUGGGGAGCAAACA
rnacentral:rRNA from 1 species